CAAACACCCCACAAGAGAGAAAAAUCAGCAUACUCACUAUUUUUCAGGAUCCGGAUACUCUGCUCUCCCUGCGGCACUUCGUCCCGGUUAAAUCCAUUCCACAGCUGUCCAUUUCCACGACGUUUCCACCCGGUGUGUUACUAGAUCUCGAGUGUGAAGAUAGCGAUGCCCCAGUUUAUAAAAAGCCUGAGCUACAGAAUGAAGGAUCAGAGACCAUCAACAGGAGUAAGACACUUCUCAACAGAAAUAGAGCCCUUUGAUUCUAAUUUGUACUGUCAUGUGUAAUGUCAGAGAGCUCCAAUUAAACACGGCCUCAGUGGAGAUCAUUAGGAUGAGAAGAUGUUGCAUCUCAAUACAGCCAGCAAUGAAGCACACAACACUCUCAUAACCAACAGCAUUCAUCUCAUUUAUGCACACCAGUGUGUGUUUACACAUUCCUCAUUGAGAAGUCGGCGUUUUCACCUUGUUUUUGUUGUUCGCCGCUUUUAUUCUCCAGUUUCGUCUUGUUGAUUUAGCAUGACUCAUUUCUAACAAAGAGACGUUUUAUACGUGUUACACGUGAAGUGGUAUGACAGCGCAUGUAUGGGUAGGGUUGAACCGUGACGCAUGUUUUGAGGUAGACAAAAUCCAAACAUUUUUGUUGAACGUAUAACUUCAUUUUCACGGUUCUUUAAAAAUAAUUAAAAUUGCAUGGGAAACUACACAGGGGACCCGUGUUGCCCAAAUCUGAUUUGUAUACCCUGGAAUUCCGAAUAAGCAACAUGUUCAAAUGGGAAUUACAAGAACCAGAAUUUAAAAUUAACUCACCAUCUGGCAGCCACAUAAUCAAAUCCCUCUCUCCAAAUUAUUUUCCUGUGGCUGAGAAAUGACUGGUGUAUUUGUCAGUAUUUGUCAGUAAGUAAGGCGACGAUAAACAAAACCUUUACAAAUGCCGCCUGCAUUAAGAGGCACGCUCGUGAGACAGUCAAUCGUUUUUUUCUGGGGGCACGGCACAUUUUGAUCCCUUUUUCUCCCUCAAGAGAAACUGACUCACCAGCUGCAAUCCAUCCAUUCGUAACUUCAAAUUAGAACCACAAUGACUAACUGAGUGAAAAAUUGAGAAUAGCUUAUUUUUGCUUUGCUUGCAGCGGUGUUCACUAAAGUUGGCCUUCGUGCUGGAUUCUUUCACCUUUCUUUUCGCUGACCCUUAUCCCAUUCUUUUCUCCUAAAUAAAAAUGGUCUGUUUUCCAAGGGACCUUUCCUGCAUCCGACUAUAUUUAUAUUCUGUUCUGCUCCGCAAGGUACAGUUAGAACUUUGCUCCCCGUGUAAUAAAAAGCUGAAGCCUGAAAUCUGACGCUGGCUUGGAUAAAUAAAACCGGCUUACAUGUAGAAAAUAUAAAAACUGCCGGGAUGAUGAAUAUGCUGUAUAUUAAAAAACAUGGGCACAACAGGGACGUAAACAAAAAACUGAUGUUUUGUUUUCUGAAGAUUUUAUAAAACAUUUUACAUUAUGUUGCUUUAGAGAACAAGGUUGUGUUUCUAUUUUCCCAGACAGAGAGACGUUACUGAAUGAGUGUCGUCACUCUGGUCGGAUUGUGUUUAAAUUGUACCUCUCCCCUAGGCCUUCAAGGUUAGCUAAAAAAAUAACACUGCUGGGUGCCAUCAAGGAGACAAAAAACUGUUCUGAUUGAAAGUCAAUGAAAGAGAUGACUCAGUGCGCUAAAACGGCCUUUGUGUGGAAACCCUUGACAGAUAAUAAAUUGACUGCCUGUCUGCUAAUCUUCAACACAUUUGCCAUUGCCAUGUUGUAUUUUCAGUGUAAAAACUGUUUUAAAAGCAAUGUCAGACAA